rnacentral:rRNA from 1 species
GACGAACGCUGGCGGCGUGCUUAACACAUGCAAGUCGAGCGGUAAGGCUCCUUCGGGAGUACACGAGCGGCGAACGGGUGAGUAACACGUGAGUAACCUGCCCUUCUCAUCGGAAUAAGCGUUGGAAACGACGUCUAAUGCCGAAUACGACUUCGGAAGGCAUCUUCUGAAGUGGAAAGCUCCGGCGGAGAAGGAUGGACUCGCGGCCUAUCAGCUAGUUGGUGAGGUAACGGCUCACCAAGGCGACGACGGGUAGCCGGCCUGAGAGGGUGACCGGCCACACUGGGACUGAGACACGGCCCAGACUCCUACGGGAGGCAGCAGUGGGGAAUAUUGGACAAUGGGCGCAAGCCUGAUCCAGCAACGCCGCGUGAGGGAUGACGGCCUUCGGGUUGUAAACCUCUUUCAGCAGGGACGAAGCGCAAGUGACGGUACCUGCAGAAGAAGGACCGGCCAACUACGUGCCAGCCGCCGCAGUAAUAC